rnacentral:rRNA from 1 species
GACGAACGCUGGCGGCGUGCUUAACACAUGCAAGUCGAACGGAAAGGCCCUGCUUGCAGGGUAUUCGAGUGUCGAACGGGUGAGUAACACGUGUGUGAUCUGCCCUGCACUUCGGGAUAAGACUGUGAGACUGGGUCGAAUACCGGAUAUGAGCCAUUUUGAGUGUUAUGGUUGGAAAGAUUGUUGGGUGUAGGAUGAGCUCGCGGCCUAUCAGCUUGUUGGUGGGGUAAUGUCCUACCAAGGCGGCGACGGGUAGCCGGCCUGAGAGGGUGGACGGCCACAUUGGGACUGCGAUACGGCCCAGACUCCUACGGGAGGCAGCAGUGGGGAAUAUUGCACAAUGGGCGCAAGCCUGAUGCAGCGACGCCGGGUGGGGGAUGACGGGCUUCGGGUUGUAAACUCCUUUCGCUAGGGAAGAAGCUUUUUGUGACGGUACCUAGAUAAGAAGCAACGGCUAACUACGUG